rnacentral:rRNA from 1 species
CACUCCUACGGGAGGCAGCAGUGGGGAAUUUUGGACAAUGGGCGAAAGCCUGAUCCAGCAAUGCCGCGUGAGUGAAGAAGGCCUUCGGGUUGUAAAGCUCUUUUGUCAGGGAAGAAACGGUGAAAGCUAAUAUCUUUUGCUAAUGACGGUACCUGAAGAAUAAGCACCGGCUAACUACGUGCCAGCAGCCGCGGUAAUACGUAGGGUGCAAGCGUUAAUCGGAAUUACUGGGCGUAAAGCGUGCGCAGGCGGUUUUGUAAGUCUGAUGUGAAAUCCCCGGGCUCAACCUGGGAAUUGCAUUGGAGACUGCAAGGCUAGAAUCUGGCAGAGGGGGGUAGAAUUCCACGUGUAGCAGUGAAAUGCGUAGAUAUGUGGAGGAACACCGAUGGCGAAGGCAGCCCCCUGGGUCAAGAUUGACGCUCAUGCACGAAAGCGUGGGGAGCAAACAGGAUUAGAAACCCUAGUAGUCCC